UGCUAGUCCCUACCCCCAACCUCCAAACACAAUUGUACGGGUUCUCCCGUCAUUUGAAGCUACACCACCAAAAGACUAUCGGACCACCGUACCGACGUCGUCGGAACCACUAAACUACUGCCUCUUUCAUCCGCCUCUAGUACUCAUUUCGCCGGAAGUCACCUCCUUUUGUCUCUACUCUUCUCGAUCUAGCUUCCCAGCCGCUAGAUUAGGUUUCAUCGGCCACCACCGUCACCAUCGGAUCUGCCAAUGUUGCUACCAGAACUGGCCUUCUGAACCACCUCCCUCAAUCGUUUGUAACAAGAUGAAUCGAUCGUUUGUAACAAGAUGAAUCGGUAUUGUUUAUAUUGAAAUUAUGGCUCGCCUGUUUACUCAUCGGCUGGGUUACUUCUCUUCAGGUAAUGAUUUCAAUACACACUUCAAAAGUUAAACGAGAUGAAUAAAUACUUUAUUUUGAAGAUGCUGUAAAAAUGGAGUUAUGAUUAUAGGGGAAUAUGAUUUUGUUAAAAAGGAAAACUUCCUUCAAGUAAAAGUUCGGAACCCUAGACAAUCAAAUCUAUAACGAUCGACAAGAUUCAAGUCAGGAUUAGUAGCCAAUUUGGAAUGCAAUCAAUUCGGCUACUUAUUGUUCUUGGAAAGGAAAUGAUCCAUCUUGCUCAUGCUAGCUAAUUUUCAAGAUCAAGGAGGUGGGUGUGGGGUGGUGGCAGCAGGUGGUGGAGGCAGGGUGGUGGUGAUUAGUGGUGGUGGUGUGUGGUGAUGUGUAGUGGUAGGUGGGUGGGUGGUUGCAAGUGAUGGUGGGUGGGUAUGGGUGGUGGAUUUAAUUCAUUUUUUCUUUGUGAUUAUAUGAAUCUAAUCACAUAUGAUUAAAUACAUAUAAUCACAUUUGAUUAUAUGAAUCUAAUCACAUAACUCAUUUUUGCUUUGCUGAUUCAAUAGUCGUUCUCAUGUAUUUUAUCAAAUGUGAUUAUAGGUAUAAUCAUAUUUGAUUAAGUACAUGAGCAUUGCUAUUGAAUCGAGAAGGAAAAAAUGCAUCUUGUCCACCUCAAAUCAUAUAUUAUUAUAUACAUAUAAUCACAUGUGAUUAAUUACACAAAAGCAAUUACUUAGUCGAAAGUUGUUAUUAUAUGUAUUCAAUCAUAUAUGAUUUAUGUGGAUGAGAUUCAUUGUCACAAUCUCGAUUAAAUAAUUGUUCUUUGUCCACUGCAAUCAUAUGUGAUUAAAUACAUAUAAUCAUAUGUAUCUAAUCACAUAUGAUUUAUACAAACAAAAAAUAAUGAUGUCUAUAUAAAUCAUAUGUGAUUAUAUACAUAUAAUCACAUAUGAUUAUAUAUACACAAGAACAAUUAUUAAAUCGAAAACACAAAGAUAAAUAUUGUCCACAUAUAUCAUAUGUGAUUAAAUGCAUAUAAUCCCUUGUGAUUAUAUGUAUCUAAUCACAUAAAAUUUAUGUGGAAAAUAUUUAUUUUCGUUUUCACGAUUACGUUGUUGUUUUUGUGUGCUUAAUUAUAUGAGAUUAUAUGUAUCUAAUUAGAUAUGAUUUAUAUAGACAAUAAUGAUUCUCACAUUCUUGUUCAAUAGUUGUUCUUUUACAUUUAGUCGCAUAUGAUUUCUGUACACAAGAUUCAUUUUCGUGUUUUUGAUUAAAUAAUUUUUCUUUUUAUACAUUAAUCAUAUGUGAUUAAUACAUACAAUCACAAACGAUUAAUAUACAUAAGAAAAAAUAUUUACUCAUGAAUAUUAUCAAUAUAAAUCAUAUGCGAUUUGAUACAUAUAAUCACAUAUGAUUAAGUACAUCAGUACAACUGUUGAAUUGAGAAAGAAAUAAUGAAUAUUGUCCACAUAAAUCAUAUGUGAUUAAAUACAUAUAAUCACAUGUGAUUAAACAUAUUAGAACAAUUAUUGAAUCGACGCAAGAAUAAAUAUUUUUCAUAUGCGUCAUAUGUAAUUAAAUAUAUAUAAUCACAUGUGAUUAAACACAUAAGAACAACUAUUAAAUCAACAUGUGAAAAAAAAUAUUGUCCAUAUAAAUCAUAUGUGAUUAAAUAGAUAUAAUCACAUGUGAUUUAAUACACGAUGCCAAUUAUUAAAUCAAAAACACGAAAAUAAAUAUAGCCCACGUAAAUAAUAUUUUAUUAAAUACAUAUAAUCAUAUGUAGUUAUAUGUAUCUAAUCAUAUAUGAUUUAUGUGGACAAUAUUCAUUUUUGCAUUCUCGAUUCACUAGUUUUUCACGUGUAUUUAAUCACAUGUGAUUUUAUGUAUUUAAUAACAUACAAAUCCUAUAAGAUUCGAUACAUUUAACCACAUGUGACUCGAUAUCUAUAAUGAUAUGUCAUUAUAUACGAGAGAAAACCUAAUGAAUCAAAAGCACAAUAACAAAUCUUUGUAGGUGGGGGUGGGGGUGGUGUAGGCGGGGUAAUGGUGGUGUGUGAUGAUGGGUGGUUGCAAGUGGUGGUGAUAGUGAUGGGUGAUGGUAUUGGUAGGUAGUGGGUGUGGGUGGUGGGUGGUGGCGGCGAGUGGUGAUGGUUAGGUGGGUGGUGGUGGUGGUGGUGGUUGGUGGUGGUGAUGGUUGUGGUGGGUGGUGGUGGUGAUGGGUGGUAAUGGGUGAUAGAUAAUGAUGGGUGGUGGUUGGUGGUGGUGGGUGGUGGUUAUGGUGGGGGGUGGCUGGUGGUGGUGAAUGGUGAUGGGUACUAAUGAGUGGUGGUGGUUGGGUGGGGAUGGUUGUGGGUGGUGAUGGUAGUGGUGGGUAAUGGUUGGUGGUGGUGGUGGUGGUGGUGGGUAGUGAUGGUUGGUGGGUGGUGGUUGUUAGUGAUGGUUAGUGAUGGGUGGUGGUGGUGGGUAGUGGUUGUGGGUUGUGGUGGCAUACGGUGGUGAUAUGUGGUGGAGGUGGGUGGUUAUGGCGGGUCAUGGUGGUUGGAUGGUGAUGGUGGUGGGUGGUGAUUGUGGUGGCGGGUGGUCGUUGGUGGUGGUGGGUAGUGAUGGGUGGUGGGUGGUAGGUAGUGGGUGGUGGUUGGUGGUGAUGGUGGUGGCGGGUGGUGGGUAGUAAUGGGUAGCGGGUGGUGGUUGGUGGUGGUGGGUAGUGAUGAGUGGUGGUUGGUGGUGGUGGUGGUUGUUGUGGUGGGUGGGUAGUGGUUGGUGGUGGAGGGUAUUGGUUGUUGGUGGUGGUGGCGGGCGGUGGUGAUGGGUGGUAGGUAGUGGUUGUUGUUGGUGGUGGUGGGCAAUGGAGAUGGGUGGUGGUGGCGGGUGGUAGUGGUUGGGUGGUGAUGGUGGUGGCGGAGGUGGUUGGUGGUGGUCGUGGUCGUGGGUGGGUAGUGAUGGGUAGUGAGUAGUGGUUAGUGGUGGUGGUUAGUCAUGGGUGGUGGUGGCGUAUGGUGGUGGUAGUGGUGGGUGGUGGUAGCGCAUGGUGGUGGUGGGUGGUGUUGGUUGGAUGGUGAGUGGUGUUAGUUAGUGGGUUUUUUAAUUAUUUGUAACUAUUUUUUGAUUUAUAUGAAUAUUAUUUUAUAAUUUUAAUUAAAAAACUUGUGUUAUUCAAAUUUGUUAUCAAACUAGUUGUGAAACCCGUAUAUUAUACAGGUUAAUUAAAACAUAAUGUUAAACAGAAGCGAUUAAAUGAAGAGU